AGCAGCUGACGAGUACCAAAUAAAACGAAACGAGCGUCCUGGGU
rnacentral:hammerhead_ribozyme from 1 species